rnacentral:rRNA from 1 species
AUUGAACGCUGGCGGAAUGCUUUACACAUGCAAGUCGAACGGCAGCACGGGGCAACCUGGUGGCGAGUGGCGAACGGGUGAGUAAUACAUCGGAACGUGCCCAGUCGUGGGGGAUAGCGUAGCGAAAGUUACGCUAAUACCGCAUACGAUCUAUGGAUGAAAGCGGGGGAUCGCAAGACCUCGCGCGAUUGGAGCGGCCGAUGUCAGAUUAGGUAGUUGGUGGGGUAAAGGCCUACCAAGCCGACGAUCUGUAGCUGGUCUGAGAGGACGACCAGCCACACUGGGACUGAGACACGGCCCAGACUCCUACGGGAGGCAGCAGUGGGGAAUUUUGGACAAUGGGCGCAAGCCUGAUUCAGCCAUUCCGCGUGCAGGAUGAAGGCCUUCGGGUUGUAAACUGCUUUUGUACGGAACGAAAAGGCUCUGGUUAAUACCUGGAGCUCAUGACGGUACCGUAAGAAUAAGCACCGGCUAACUACGUGCCAGCCGCCGCGGUAAUAC